rnacentral:rRNA from 1 species
UGGGGAAUCUUGCACAAUGGAGGAAACUCUGAUGCAGCGACGCCGCGUGAGCGAAGAAGCCUUUCGGGGUGUAAAGCUCUUACGCCAGGGACGAUAAUGACGGUACCUGGAGAAGCAGCUGCGGCUAACUACGUGCCAGCAGCCGCGGUAAUACGUAGGCAGCAAGCGUUGUUCGGAGUUACUGGGCGUAAAGGGUGCGUAGGCGGCGCUCUAAGUUUGGUGUGAAAUCUCCCGGCUUAACUGGGAGGGUGCACUGAAAACUGGGGCGCUCGAGUAUGGGAGAGGAAAGCGGAAUUCCUGGUGUAGCGGUGAAAUGCGUAGAGAUCAGGAGGAACACCUGCGGUGCAGACGGCUUUCUGGACCAUCACUGACGCUGAGGCACGAAAGCGUGGGUAGCAAACA